rnacentral:rRNA from 1 species
UUGGCUUAGAAGCAGCCAUCCUUGAAAGAGUGCGUAAUAGCUCACUGGUCAAGUGGUUCUGCGCCGACAAUGUAGCGGGGCUCAAGCGUACCGCCGAAGCUGUGGCAACAACACGAUUGUGCUGGCGCCAGGAACUGGAGUGCUGGUGUGUUGUUGGGUAGGGGAGCGUCCUGCACGAGGUGAAGCCUGGAGGUGACUUCUGGUGGAUUGUGUGGGAGUGAGAAUGCAGGCAUGAGUAACGAAUCUGCGGUGAGAAUCCGCAGCGCCGAUUGACUAAGGGUUCCAGGGCUAGGUUUAUCCGCCCUGGGUUAGUCGGGUCCUAAGGCGAGGCCGACAGGCGUAGUCGAUGGACAACCAGUUGAUAUUCUGGUACCGCGUUGUGACCGCCCAUGCUGAAGUCAUUGUGCUAACCAAUUUGCUCACCGCCUGCUGGGCCUUCGGGUUUGGUGGUGUGUGUGGGUCUUGGGGUCCCGGUGAUUGUAGGCAAGCGUGUUAACAGGGGUGACGCAGACAGGUAGCUGCAGUGCGCCGAUGGUUGUGCGUAUUUAAGGUUGUGGCCCGUCCCUCAGGUAAAUCCGGGGGGCACCCAGGGUGAGAACUGAUGAGGGUGACACGGUUGUGCCAUCUUGUGGUGAUCCUAUGCUGCCAAGAAAAGCCUCGACGUGAGGGCAUGACGCGCCCGUACCCUAAACCGACUCAGGUGGUCAGGUAGAGUAUACCGAGGCGUUCGAGUGAAUCAUGGUUAAGGAACUCGGCAAAAUUCCUCCGUAACUUCGGGAUAAGGAGGACCCCGUGACUUCCCCGCACCGUUGCGUGUGGGUGGGGUUGGGGGGUCGCAGAGAAUAGGGAGAAGCGACUGUUUAUCAAAAACACAGGUGCGUGCGAAGCCGUAAGGCGAUGUAUACGCACUGACGCCUGCCCGGUGCUGGAAGGUUAAGAGGAACCGUCAACACCCCCCGCGGGUGUGAAGCGGUGAAUUUAAGCCCCAGUAAACGGCGGUGGUAACUAUAACCAUCCUAAGGUAGCGAAAUUCCUUGUCGGGUAAGUUCCGACCUGCACGAAUGGCGUAACGACUUCUCCGCUGUCUCAACCGUGAACUCGGUGAAAUUGCAGUACGAGUAAAGAUGCUCGUUUCGCGCAGAAGGACGGAAAGACCCCGGGACCUUUACUAUAGCUUGGUAUUGGUGUUCGCUUGGACUUGUGUAGGAUAGGUGGGAGACUGUGAAGCUGCCGCGCCAGCGGUGGUGGAGUCGUCGUUGAAAUACCAUUCUGGUUCAAGCGGUCACCUUAACCUUGGCCCGUGAUCCGGGUUGGGGACAGUGCCUGGUGGGUAGUUUAACUGGGGCGGUUGCCUCCUAAAAUGUAACGGAGGCGCUCAAAGGUUCCCUCAGCCUGGUUGGUAAUCAGGUGGCGAGUGCAAGUGUACAAGGGAGCUUGACUGUGAGACCGACGGGUCGAGCAGGUGCGAAAGCAGGAACUAGUGAUCCGGCCAUGGCACGUGGGUGCGUGGUCGCUCAACGGAUAAAAGGUACCCCGGGGAUAACAGGCUGAUCUUGCCCAAGAGUCCAUAUCGACGGCAUGGUUUGGCACCUCGAUGUCGGCUCGUCGCAUCCUGGGGCUGGAGUCGGUCCCAAGGGUUGGGCUGUUCGCCCAUUAAAGCGGUACGCGAGCUGGGUUCAGAACGUCGUGAGACAGUUCGGUCCCUAUCCUCUGUGCGCGCAGGAAAUUUGAGAAGGGCCGUCCCCAGUACGAGAGGACCGGGAUGGACGAACCUCUGGUGUGCCAGUUGUACCGCCAGGUGCAUGGCUGGUUAGCUACGUUCGGAAGGGAUAACCGCUGAAAGCAUCUAAGCGGGAAGCCUGCUUCAAGAUGAGGUUUCCACGCCCCCCCUGUGGGGUGAGAGGCCCCCGCCAGACUAGCGGGUAGAUAGGCCAGAGGUGGAAGCACCGCAAGGUGCUCGUGAGCCGACUGGUACUAAUGGGCCAACACUAAACAAC